UUGUCUCAAAGAUUAAGCCAUGCAUGUCUCAGUACAAGCCACAUUAAGGUGAAACCGCGAAAGGCUCAUUAAAUCAGUUAUGGUUCCUUAGAUCGUACCCACAUUUACUUGGAUAACUGUGGUAAUUCUAGAGCUAAUACAUGCAAACAGAGUUCCGACCGGAGACGGGAGGAAUGCUUUUAUUAGAUCAAAACCAAUCGGCGGCGGUCGCGUUCGCGCGGCCGUUCGCCGCUCAACCUGGUGACUCUGAAUAACUUUCCGCUGAUCGCACGGUCUCGCACCGGCGACGCAUCUUUCAAAUGUCUGCCUUAUCAACUGUCGAUGGUAGGUUCUGCGCCUACCAUGGUCGUAACGGGUAACGGGGAAUCAGGGUUCGAUUCCGGAGAGGGAGCCUGAGAAACGGCUACCACAUCCAAGGAAGGCAGCAGGCGCGCAAAUUACCCACUCCCGGCACGGGGAGGUAGUGACGAAAAAUAACGAUACGGGACUCAUCCGAGGCCCCGUAAUCGGAAUGAGUACACUUUAAAUCCUUUAACGAGGAUCAAUUGGAGGGCAAGUCUGGUGCCAGCAGCCGCGGUAAUUCCAGCUCCAAUAGCGUA
rnacentral:rRNA from 1 species